UGCAGACAUUGCAGACCCUGCGACCAAGAAAGCACAACAGCAUUGCAUCACGGACUUCUACAACUCAGCAUCCACAAGAAGAGGCAACGGAGAAGAUCUACCAUGUCAGGAGAAGAAAUAAUCACCACCUACAUGCACAUGGAAGUAAGAGGGAAGAUAGCGUUAGUUGGAAAGCCCCUCUCCUUAAACCAACCAGUCAUCUAUGUCAGGGAUAUGCAGGAGACCGAGAAAGUCAAACAUAAAGUGACCGUCUACAAAAUGCAAAGGGAUUCGAAUUCAGUUGCAUUGGCGUUCUGUUUCCUGUAUGAGAAUCAGCCAUUUUUCUUUGUUGUCGAGGGGAAUGAA